rnacentral:rRNA from 1 species
AUUGAACGCUGGCGGCAUGCUUUACACAUGCAAGUCGAACGGUAACAGGCCGCAAGGUGCUGACGAGUGGCGAACGGGUGAGUAAUGCAUCGGAACGUGCCCAGUCGUGGGGGAUAACUACUCGACAGAGUAGCUAAUACCGCAUACGAUCUAUGGAUGAACGCGGGGGACCGUAAGGCCUCGCGCGAUUGGAGCGGCCGAUGUCAGGUUAGGUAGUUGGUGGGGUAAAGGCUCACCAAGCCAACGAUCUGUAGCUGGUCUGAGAGGACGACCAGCCACAGUGGGACUGAGACACGGCCCAGACUCCUACGGAAGGCAGCAGUGGGGAAUUUUGGACAAUGGGGGCAAGCCUGCUCCAGCAAUGCCGCGUGCAGGAAGAAGGCCUGCGGGUUGUAAACUGCUUUUGUACGGAACGAAACGGCUCUGGUUAAUACCCGGGGCUAAUGACGGUACCGUAAGAAUAAGCACCGGCUACCUACGU